AACGUCAUUGCCCUUUCGGGUUUUUACUCCUUGCAUGUCAAGCCCUAGUAAGGUUCUGCGUUUUGCAUCGAAUUAAACCACACGCUCCACCGCUUGUGCGGGCCCCCGUCAAUUCCUUUGAGUUUUAGCCUUGCGGCCGUAGUCCCCAGGCGGAGUACUUAACGCGUUAGCUUCGGCACAGGGGGGGUCGAUACCCCCUAUACCCAGUACUCAUAGUUUAGGGCGUGGACUAC
rnacentral:misc_RNA from 1 species